GAUGAACGCUGGCGGCGUGCUUAACACAUGCAAGUCGAACGAUUAAAGCCCCUUCGGGGGUGUAUAGAGUGGCGAACGGGUGAGUAACACGUGGGUAACCUGCCCUAUGCUUUGGGAUAACUCAGGGAAACUUGAGCUAAUCCCGAAUACUCCGGUCUGAUCGCAUGGUCGGACCGGGAAAGUUACGGCGGCAUAGGAUGGACCCGCGGCCCAUCAGCUUGUUGGUAGGGUAACGGCCUACCAAUGCGACGAUGGGUAGCCGAGCUGAGAGGCUGAUCGGCCACACUGGGACGGAGACACGGCCCAGACUCCUACGGGUGGCAGCAGUGGGGAAUAUUGGACAAUGGGCGAAAGCCUGAUCCAGCAAUGCCGCGUGAGUGAUGAAGGCCGUAGGGUUGUAAAGCUCUUUUACCUGGGAUGAUAAUGACAGUACCAGGAGAAUAAGCCCCGGCUAACUCCGUGCCAGCCGCCGCGGUAAUAC
rnacentral:rRNA from 1 species